rnacentral:rRNA from 1 species
CGUGCCAGCAGCGCGGUAAUACGGAGGGUGCAAGCGUUAUUCGGAAUCACUGGGCGUAAAGGGUGCGUAGGCGGUUUGGAAAGUCAGGUGUGAAAGCCUACAGCUUAACUGUAGAACUGCACUUGAAACUUCCAGACUAGAAUACUGAAGGGGCAGAUGGAAUUAGUGGUGUAGGGGUAAAAUCCGUAGAUAUCACUAGGAAUACCUAAAGCGAAAGCGAUCUGCUGGGAAGUUAUUGACGCUGAGGCACGAAAGCGUGGGGAGCAAACAGGAUUAGAUACCCUGGUAGUCCACGCCCUAAACGAUGAAUGCUAGUCGUCGGAAAGCUUGUCUUUUCGGUGAUGCAGUUAACACAUUAAGCAUUCCGCCUGGGGAGUACGGUCGCAAGAUUAAAACUCAAAGGAAUAGACGGGGACCCGCACAAGUGGUGGAGCAUGUGGUUUAAUUCGAAGAUACGCGAAAAACCUUACCUGGCCUUGACAUUGAUAGAAUCUGCUAGAGAUAGCGGAGUGCCUGCUUGCAGGAGCUUGAAAACAGGUGCUGCACGGCUGUCGUCAGCUCGCGUCGUGAGAUGUUGGGUUAAGUCCCGCAACGAGCGCAACCCUCGUCGUUAGUUGCUAACAGUUCGGCUGAGCACUCUAGCGAGACUGCCUUCGCAAGGAGGAGGAAGGUGAGGACGACGUCAAGUCAUCAUGGCCCUUAUGGCCAGGGCUACACACGUGCUACAAUGGGGCGUACAGAGAGUUGCGAUACCGCGAGGUGGAGCCAAUCUCAUAAAGCGUCUCUCAGUUCGGAUUGUUCUCUGCAACUCGAGAACAUGAAGCUGGAAUCACUAGUAAUCGUAGAUCAGCAUUGCUACGGUGAAUACGUUCCCGGGUCUUGUACUCACCGCCCGUCACACCAUGGGAGUUGAUUUCACCCAAAAUCGGGAAGCCAACCUUCGGGAGGCUACCGCUAC